CCAGACUCCUACGGGAGGCAGCAGUGGGGAAUAUUGCACAAUGGGGGGAACCCUGAUGCAGCGACGCCGCGUGGGUGAAGAAGUCAUUCGUGACGUAAAGCCCUAUCAGCAGGGAAGAAAAUGACGGUACCUGACUAAGAAGCCCCGGCUAACUACGUGCCAGCAGCCGCGGUAAUACGUAGGGGGCAAGCGUUAUCCGGAUUUACUGGGUGUAAAGGGAGCGUAGGCGGUGAUGCAAGUCAGAAGUGAAAGCCCGCAGCUCAACUGCGGGACUGCUUUUGAAACUGUAUGACUAGAUUGCAGGAGAGGUAAGUGGAAUUCCUAGUGUAGCGGUGAAAUGCGUAGAUAUUAGGAGGAACACCAGUGGCGAAGGCGGCUUACUGGACUGUAAAUGACGCUGAGGCUCGAAAGCGUGGGGAGCAAACAGGAUUAGAUACCCCGGUAUAU
rnacentral:rRNA from 1 species